UUUUUUUCCUGAAGAUUUUACCUUCAUAAACCUUCUACAAUUUUCCGUUACAUUCAUAUACUGUCCCAAGCCAUUUCUUUCCAAACAACCAGUCUCAUUUA